CCUACGGGGGGCAGCAGUGGGGAAUAUUGGACAAUGGGGGGAACCCUGAUCCAGCCAUGCCGCGUGUGUGAAGAAGGCCCUCGGGUUGUAAAGCACUUUCAGUGAGGAAGAACGCCUGGUGGUUAAUACCCAUCAGGAAAGACAUCACUCACAGAAGAAGCACCGGCUAACUCCGUGCCAGCAGCCGCGGUAAUACGGAGGGUGCGAGCGUUAAUCGGAAUUACUGGGCGUAAAGCGCGCGUAGGUGGCUUGAUAAGCCGGUUGUGAAAGCCCCGGGCUCAACCUGGGAACGGCAUCCGGAACUGUCAAGCUAGAGUGCAGGGGAGGAAGGUAGAAUUCCCGGUGUAGCGGUGAAAUGCGUAGAGAUCGGGAGGAAUACCAGUGGCGAAGGCGGCCUUCUGGACUGACACUGACACUGAGGUGCGAAAGCGUGGGUAGCAAACAGGAUUAGAUACCCGUGUAGUC
rnacentral:rRNA from 1 species